CCUACGGGAGGCAGCAGUGAGGAAUAUUGGUCAAUGGACGAGAGUCUGAACCAGCCAAGUAGCGUGAAGGAUGACUGCCCUAUGGGUUGUAAACUUCUUUUAUAUGGGAAUAAAAUGUUCCACGUGUGGGAUUUUGUAUGUACCGUAUGAAUAAGGAUCGGCUAACUCCGUGCCAGCAGCCGCGGUAAUACGGAGGAUCCGAGCGUUAUCCGGAUUUAUUGGGUUUAAAGGGAGCGUAGGUGGAUUGUUAAGUCAGUUGUGAAAGUUUGCGGCUCAACCGUAAAAUUGCAGUUGAAACUGGCAGUCUUGAGUGCAGGAGAGGUGGGCGGAAUUCGUGGUGUAGCGGUGAAAUGCUUAGAUAUCACGAAGAACUCCGAUUGCGAAGGCAGUUCACUGGACUGCAACUGACACUGAGGCUCGAAAGUGUGGGUAUCAAACAGGAUUAGAUACCCCGGUAGUC
rnacentral:rRNA from 1 species